UACGGGGGGUGCAAGCGUUGUUCGGAAUUACUGGGCGUAAAGGGCUCGUAGGCGGCCAAUUAAGUCAGACGUGAAAUCCCUCGGCUUAACCGGGGAACUGCGUCUGAUACUGGAUGGCUUGAGUUUGGGAGAGGGAUGCGGAAUUCCAGGUGUAGCGGUGAAAUGCGUAGAUAUCUGGAGGAACACCGGUGGCGAAGGCGGCAUCCUGGGCCAACACUGACGCUGAGUGAGCGAAAGCCAGGGGAGCAAACGGG
rnacentral:rRNA from 1 species